rnacentral:lncRNA from 1 species
CAUAGUGAAGGCAGCCAUAGACAACACCUAAAUGAAUGGGCAUGGCUGUGUUCAAUGAAAUUUUACUUAUAGAAACAGGAGGUAGGCUGGAUUUGGCUCAUGAGCAGUAGGUUGUUGACCCUGGUUUAAAUUAUCACUGAUAUGCUGGUAUCUGGCAAAGCACUGCUAAAUCACAUUUGUUUUGUAGAAAAGGAAUUUUCAUAGUUUCCAUGACAAGCAUCUCUGGGGAUUACAAGAAAGAAAGUGAAGUCUCACAUAAUUUAUGUUGAUUCCAUCACAAUCCGGCCCUAUUCCACCCCCACACAGUGGUCUAGACAUUGGGAAAUGAUAACCAGUGCUCCAAACUGACCUAAUACCGCCUUUGUAUGUGGGAAAACCAUUGACUUAAAGCAUUGUGGCACAAACUGCAGCAAUUUUUUCCCCCUGCGUCAUAGCAACAACUCUUAUUUCAUCAAAUAACAUUGGAUUUAAUGUGCUCAGAAUUGGUAAGGAGUUAACAAAAAUAAUAACAUUGGUGAUAAAUAUCACCAUCAUCAUAAUGGACAUUGCCAUUAGCCAUGGAUUCUUUGACUUAGGAGAAGCACAAGAUUGAAUUUGCAAAUAGCAUUUUUGGUUUUCAGUAUACCUUUCUCUACAUAGGACAGCCUCUACCUUAGUGUUUCAAGGAGUCCUGCACAGAGUUGGUGUGUAAUCAGUGUGUUCAGAAAAACUUGACCAUUGGGUGAAAUGCCACAGUUUUCUCCAGGGAUAACGGGGACAGCCCCCUUCCCCAUUCUUUAUCUCUUUUGUCAUAUGCUCCCCAAGUUCUGCUACCUGCUGUGCCUCAUGACUGUCAAAUACUUAUGAAUAUAUUUUGUGACUAUCUCCCCAAACUUCCUCUUUUCAAAGACUUAGUCAAAAGCCAGAGGGACCAGGCUGGUGGAAGACUGAUGAGCUCUGCCUUUAGCCUAACAUAUUUUGGAGACUGCUUGGUGGGUCUAUGUAAGUAGACCCCUAAAAGGAGGGAGGCAGGGGAAGGGUACAGUUUGGUCUCCAGCUGGGCCCUAAUUCUAUCUGUAUUACACAUCUGUACUUGCUUUGGAUCUUGCCAUGUAAAAGGGUCCAGCAAACAUCACACCACAGAAGCUAUGUUUAGGAGGUUUUAAUAGGGUAGCAUGGCUCCACCGUAUCCCUUAGGCUCCCACCAGGGAAUACACAUCAGUGAUUAACACAGCCACAUGCUACGCUGCUGCUACUCCACUUGCAGGUGACUGGUAUAGCAAGACUGCUUUCUUCUCAAAAAUUAAUUUCUGGUUCAAAUUUACAACAAACUCAGAUAUUUGACUUACUGUUUUAACUUGGAGUGCAUUUAUUGCAGACUUAACUCGCUAUCCUUUAACCUUCACCUGCCUUGGAAGAGCCUCUGUGACCUGGGUCAUUGGCCACAUCCCUCUGUCUGAUGGACCUGUAGGCUCUUGGUUUUGUUCUGUGAUGUCCCAUGCUUCUUCCAUAGUUCCCUCUUUUUGUGUCUCUUUUCUUCACAUUUUCCUCCCUCCCAGCCUUCUUUGGUAUUAGCAAAACAAAGUAAGGAAACAGCUGUGAAGGUUCUUUAAAAGUUCAAGAGCUUUGCAAACCUUCAGUGCUUGCAGAAUACUAAGCAUCUUCCAUGUCUGUGGAGGUCCUGGAAGGGGGAGAGGGUUAUGUGUUCAGUACCUGUUAGGUGCCAGGCAUUGAAUUUGGCCUCUUGGUAUAUAUUCUACUGAGUUUUGAUAAUGACCUUGCAAGACUGUUAUUCUUGUUCUAAAGAUGAGGCAGUUCAGUCUCAGAAAGAUUAUGUAACUGGCCCUAAGCCACACAGCAAGGAAGUGGAGAAUCUGGAAGUGAACUCACCCUCUGAAAUCCUGGCUCUUUCUAUUCUACUUUCCCUCACCUUUCUACACCAAGGUGGGAAAUAAAGAGGAGUUACUCAAGUAAUAAGGGUAAUUUGGAGAGGCUGCUGCUUCAGGUGUAAUCCCAGAUCCCCAAUCAGACUUAACUGAGUUCUCUCUCCCGCCGAACUCCACUGGGGCCUCUGUUCCCCAUGUUGCCCUCUACUCUGAACCCAGGAGGUUGCAGGGAAAUAUCUAUUUUAUGUCUAUGAAACUGGGAUUUGGAACAGAGGUUUCUCUUAAUAAGUCACAAACCCAGCUAGUAUCCAUGAGGAUGCAGGUUCCAUCCCUGGCCUCGCUCAGUGGAUUAAGGAUCUGGCGUUGCUGUGAGCUGUGGUGUAGGUUGCAGACAUGGCUUGGAUCCUGCGUUGCUGUGGCUGUGGUGUAGGCUGGCAGCUGUAGCUCCGAUUCAACCCUAGCUCAGGAACUUCCAUAUGCUACAGGUGGGGCC